rnacentral:rRNA from 1 species
CAGUAGCCGCGGUAAAACAGAGGGUGCAAGCGUUAAUCGGAAUUACUGGGCGUAAAGCGCGCGUAGGUGGUUUGUUAAGUUGGAUGUGAAAUCCCCGGGCUCAACCUGGGAACUGCAUCCAAAACUGGCAAGCUAGAGUAUGGUAGAGGUUGGUGGAAUUUCCUGUGUAGCGGUGAAAUGCGUAGAUAUAGGAAGGAACACCAGUGGCGAAGGCGACCACCUGGACUGAUACUGACACUGAGGUGCGAAAGCGUGGGGAGCAAACAGGAUUAGAUACCCCUGUAGUCCCUGUCUCUUAUAC